rnacentral:rRNA from 1 species
AACGAACGCUGGCGGCAUGCCUAACACAUGCAAGUCGAACGAGACCUUCGGGUCUAGUGGCGCACGGGUGCGUAACGCGUGGGAACCUGCCCUUAGGUUCGGAAUAACUCCCCGAAAGGGGUGCUAAUACCGGAUAAUGUCUUCGGACCAAAGAUUUAUCGCCUUUGGAUGGGCCCGCGUUGGAUUAGCUAGUUGGUAGGGUAAAAGCCUACCAAGGCGACGAUCCAUAGCUGGUCUGAGAGGAUGAUCAGCCACACUGGGACUGAGACACGGCCCAGACUCCUACGGGAGGCAGCAGUGGGGAAUAUUGGACAAUGGGCGAAAGCCUGAUCCAGCUAUGCCGCGUGAGUGAUGAAGGCAGUAGGGUUGUAAAGCUCUAUUACCCGGGAUGAUAAUGACAGUACCGGGAGAAUAAGCUCCGGCUAACUCCGUG